GGAGGCGUGGCCGAGUGGUUGAAGGCACCGGUCUUGAAAACCGGCAACGGGUUAAACCGUUCGUGAGUUCGAAUCCCACCGCCUCCGCCA
rnacentral:tRNA from 7 species